rnacentral:tRNA from 1 species
GGUGGGCGUAGCUCAGCUCGGUUAGAGCGCCAGGUUGUGGCCCUGGAGGUCGGGGGUUCGAAUCCCAUAGCCCACCC